CCUUGAGAUGGAUUGUUGUUUGUUGUUUGAUUGAUUGUCUUGAGAUGGAUUGUUGUUUGUUGUUUGAUUGAUUGCCUUGAGAAGGUACAAACCAUGUAGGCCGAUUGAUUGCUGUUUGUUGCCUUGAUACAUAUGUUUAUAUGGCACGACUGGCUGCUGUUUGUUCAUGGUUAUUACAAUUGAUUGAUUGUUAUUUGUCGAUUGGUAUCUAAUUUUGGUAUUGGUAGUUCCUGAUCAUAGGUAACAAACCUGGCGCUAUUAUUUUUUCUGAACUUUUUUGUGAUUAUUAUUCCUUCACAUUGCACUGAUCCCAGAUCCAUAUCGACAUGCCCACGCUGUCUGACGAGGAUAAAGAUGUUAUGAAAAAAUGGGGUGCUCCAAACAAGAUUGACUUCCUCUCUUUCUUAUACAAGGCAUGCAGAAGAUGUGCGGCAAAAGUCUGCUCUGCACAAGUGCAACAUGGUUGGAAAACCUGCUGCUGUUACUCGUGUUGUGGAUAGUAUGACGGAUAACCUAAGGCCUACUCGUGCAGAUGCAACUGAUGUGGCAAAUGCGGUGCUGGAUGGUAAUGAUGCCAUUCUCCUUGGUGCUGAGACUCUCUGUGGGUUGUAUCCAGUUGAGACUAUUUCAACGAUAGGCAGAAUUUGUGAUGAGUUCAAAUCGGACUUCAAUACAAAUAAAAUGUUGCAGAUAAAUACCAUUCUUCCGAACAGCCCCUAGAUGUGUUCUCAACAAGCUGAGAAGGUCUUCAACCAGGAUUUGUAUUUCAAGCGAACCAUGAAAUACGUGGGAGAACCCAUGAUCCACUUGGAGUCUAUUGCUUCCUCUGCAGUGCGGGCUGCUAUUAAAGUUAAGGCUUCAGUCAUCAUUUGCUUCACCUCAUCUGGAUAGGAGAAAAAGAGUAUUUCUUCUUAUAGGCGCUUCACCUCAUCUUGUAGUUUAAUAGAAAUUGAUUCAUAUAUUAUGCUGUAUCGAGUAUCUGCAGGCUAAUUGCCAAGUACAGAACCACCAUGCCAUUCCUCAUCUAAAAACAAAUCAGUUGAAGUGGAGCUUCACAAGCGCAUUUGAAGCAAGACAAUCACUCAAUAGUUAGAGGCCUCUUUCCCAUGCUUGCCGAUCCACAUCACCCGGCUGAAUCUACUAGCACUAGAAAUGAAUCAGUGUUGAAGGCUCUUGACCACGGCAAAGCAUCCGGUGUGAUCAAGUCGCAUGGCUUACCUUAGCCAGAAUUUCUAUAAGAAUGUUGCUGAUGUUACAUGCCUUGCUUUCUCUAGAACGAAGAUCUGGAUCACCCUCGCCCCUCUAGAGAAAUCAGUUUACUCGUUCAAGUUCUGGAAAUUCUUUAUAGCUUUUUGAGUUUACUUCGGUCUUGCAUGCAUUAGCUUUUUGUUUGUGCCCCUAUCUAUGUAUGUUUCUUGUGUGCAAGUGCUCCAUUGUGUGUGUGUGUGUGGCUUGACUCUCUAUGUGUGGCUUGACUCUGUGUGUGUGGCUUGACUCUGUAUGUGUGGCUUGAUUGUGUG